rnacentral:rRNA from 1 species
GAUGAACGCUGGCGGCGUGCUUAACACAUGCAAGUCGAACGAUGAAGCCCAGCUUGCUGGGUGGAUUAGUGGCGAACGGGUGAGUAACACGUGAGUAACCUGCCCUUAACUCUGGGAUAAGCCUGGGAAACUGGGUCUAAUACCGGAUAGGAGCGUCCACCGCAUGUUGGGUGUUGGAAAGAUUUAUCGGUUUUGGAUGGACUCGCGGCCUAUCAGCUUGUUGGUGAGGUAAUGGCUCACCAAGGCGACGACGGGUAGCCGGCCUGAGAGGGUGACCGGCCACACUGGGACUGAGACACGGCCCAGACUCCUACGGGAGGCAGCAGUGGGGAAUAUUGCACAAUGGGCGCAAGCCUGAUGCAGCGACGCCGCGUGAGGGAUGACGGCCUUCGGGUUGUAAACCUCUUUCAGUAGGGAAGAAGCGAAAGUGACGGUACCUGCAGAAGAAGCACCGGCUAACUACGUG